rnacentral:rRNA from 1 species
GCUUGCUGGGUGGAUUAGUGGCGAACGGGUGAGUAACACGUGAGUAACCUGCCCUUGACUUCGGGAUAACUCCGGGAAACCGGGGCUAAUACCGGAUAUGAGCCGUCCUCGCAUGGGGGUGGUUGGAAAGUUUUUCGGUCAGGGAUGGGCUCGCGGCCUAUCAGCUUGUUGGUGGGGUGAUGGCCUACCAAGGCGACGACGGGUAGCCGGCCUGAGAGGGCGACCGGCCACACUGGGACUGAGACACGGCCCAGACUCCUACGGGAGGCAGCAGUGGGGAAUAUUGCACAAUGGGCGAAAGCCUGAUGCAGCGACGCCGCGUGAGGGAUGAAGGCCUUCGGGUUGUAAACCUCUUUCAGCAGGGAAGAAGCGCAAGUGACGGUACCUGCAGAAGAAGCGCCGGCUAACUACGUGCCAGCAGCCGCGGUAAUACGUAGGGCGCAAGCGUUGUCCGGAAUUAUUGGGCGUAAAGAGCUCGUAGGCGGUUUGUCGCGUCUGGUGUGAAAACUCGAGGCUCAACUUCGAGCUUGCAUCGGGUACGGGCAGACUAGAGUGCGGUAGGGGAGACUGGAAUUCCUGGUGUAGCGGUGGAAUGCGCAGAUAUCAGGAGGAACACCGAUGGCGAAGGCAGGUCUCUGGGCCGCAACUGACGCUGAGGAGCGAAAGCAUGGGGAGCGAACAGGAUUAGAUACCCUGGUAGUCCAUGCCGUAAACGUUGGGCACUAGGUGUGGGGCUCAUUCCACGAGUUCCGUGCCGCAGCAAACGCAUUAAGUGCCC